GAAGUACCAGUGUAAAGAUUAGUAUUAAAUGGGGAUUGGGGAGGGGAAGGGGAGUUGAGAGUUGCAGACUUGUGUCCUAAGAUUGGGCAUUUAGGUUCUCAGUUGGACUAAUGCUUCUGUUUUCAAUCUCUUCUUGGCUGAAGUCCUUUGAGAAAAACUCCUAAGUUUGCUCUGGGUGCAGCUAACCUUCCAGAACCCAAAUCGCAAUUCAGAGGAGUGAUCUGUGACUAGGCCUUAAUUGGAAGAAAAUGCUUCACUUGCUUGGUCCAGCCCUCUGCCCAUCCUCACCAGCUUUGAAGAUGCCACUGCUACUUCCUCUUCCCUCCUCCCUGGGAUGCUGAUCACCCCUUUUCCACUCCAGCCACAUCUGUGGGCUGUUGCAACAACUUCAGAGCUGAGCCAGAUCAAAUGCACCUACCCGGACCACGGUGACACACUCUGGAGCUGCUCGGGCAUAGUGAAACAGGCUGUGUUGACAAGCGGGAACUUCUGCUUGAGCCAAAACUUUGGCAACAGUUUUUUUUCUGGAAGCCAGGGCAGCAACACUUCUCUGGUCCUGACAGAAAAGGCAAAACGCUCACCGGUCCAGUCUACCACUCUUGACAUACUUCUAAUGUCAUGA
rnacentral:lncRNA from 1 species